UCAGAACAAAAUGCCGACCGGAAGUGCAGCGGCAGGAAUGACUCCCUCCACCGGCGCCAAACACCAGCAACCUCCCCCUUCCCUCCGCUGCCUCCUCCUCACCCGAUCGCUCCCUCGCUCCACCAGCGCCGCUUCCGCCGCUGCAGCUGGAGGGGCUCCCUUGCCUCGCCUCUCCCGGUAGUCUCCCCUCCGUAGCUCCUCUCCCUUCCACACCCCUCCGGUUGCUGCACGACCUUCUCUAUUUUUUUUUCUUUUUUUAUUUUCCCCUUCCUCCCUGCCUUUUGGUGCGCGGAACGAGACCGAAGCUUACGUUUAAACCUGCUCUGAGGAACUGUGAAGAAGGGAUUCUCUUGGAAAAAGAAUAUACGUUUUGGUGUUUUUUGUUUGUUUGUUCGGGUUUUUUUGUUGGUGGUGGUGGUUGGUUGGUUGGUUUCUUUUUGUCCUGCCUAAGCAUGGUGGAGAGGACGAGGAGGAGGACUGCCGAAGGCUGCCUCGCAGGAGGCAGACCUGGAAACAGCCCUUAAACUGAACCCUCAAGGGCGGCAGCCCCUGCAGGUGGGACACUCGCUGGAGUGACUGUCGCCGCUCAUGCCCGUUCUCUGUGGACGUGAGAGGCCGCCCCGCAGGAACCAAAGACCCGCUGCUCAAAGCAUUGCCGGGGCGAGGGAUUUCCAGAUGGACAUAGGGAACGAGAGUGACUUUCAAAAACGGACUUUUUGGACCAGCACUGGGGAAAAUACUGAUCAGGUGAAAUGUCCUUCGCUGGAGGCUCAGGCUCCACCACCACCAGAUUUACUGGAAAUAUUUUUUGUGUUGUGAAGGAGUGUUUGGAGACAGAGCAUGUCCUGGUCUGAAAGACUUUUUGAUGUUCCGCUGUACAGGUAAAACUGAAUAAUUAUAGCACAGGGUAAUAAUGAAGAAGCAUUUACAUCCCAUGAAUUAACUGUGUCUUUUGGUACUCACUUAAUGUCGAUUUGCUGCUCAGUACUUGGACAAAAUUCCUUUCAUUUCUAGAGGAAGAACUCCUUGACUGUCGACUUCAGGAAUCAGCUGGACACAGCUGUAAAUACCCUGUGACAUAUAAACACACCCUUUCAGCGCUGGAUGAAUGUUAUUUGCACAAAGGGAUAAAAUCUUACACCAGUGCACCUGAUCUCUCCAAUGCUUAGGAUUUUUUGAAUAGUGCUGUCUUUAAUACAGAUUUCAAAUGCCUCUCUUAUGCUUAAACUACUACAAAAUUCGUAAUUUUGGGUGAAUCAAAGUUUGUCUUAAAGUAUGUUUUUGCUUAAAAGCACAGAAAUGAAGAGGGCACUGGAAAACACGGUAAUUCAGUAGUGGAAAUACUAUUGUUCCAAUGACACGUAUUAACAGAGACAGAGUAAACUGGGUUCUGAAAAAAAUGUAUUACAGACCUUUGUUCCAGGUUAAUAGAAAAGAUCCUAAAAUCGUUUAUGCAUUUAUAAUUUGAAGUUAGCAAUUUGAAAUAAAGGUAAAUAAUUGGUCUUGCAAACAAAGUGUGUCCUUAUGUCUUUGCACUUAAUUUAAUACAUUGCAACUCUGCAACUCAAGGGGAAAACUAUUUACAUUCUCUUGGAAAUAAAAUAUAAUUUAAGGAGCUACCUAUCUGGAAUUCACCUAGCAUAUGUAUGUGUACUUAUACAUCUAUGAAUUUCCAGGAAAAUGUAAUUCUAAAAUUACAAAGCUCAGGAAUACUAUUUCGAUCUACUUCUGAGUGAUUGUUACCGAUUCAUGUUGAUGUAGUCUUUCCAUUAUUUUAGCAAUCCAUUCAAAUAAUUAUUUUUUUUCUUAGUUCGUGAAUUAAUAUGUAAAUAAAAUACAGAACAUUGAAAUUUUAAUUUUCAAAUACCAAAUAUGUUUUGGAUUUUAUGGUCUGGCACAAGUCCUAUUUGAUUAUGGUUUCAGUGAGAAUAUCACUAGAUCAUUUAAUGCUUUUAAAAUACCAUUCAAUUAAAAGAUCUUGUAGAAGUGGCUAUUUUACUUGAGUACUAUGCUGUAUUACCUGCACAAGAGAACAACUAAUUUAAGCCAUUAGCUCUUCUAGAAAGUGGUGUGUAACACACAUGGGCAAAUCAGGAAUUUAUUUUCCUUAAGGAAAUUAAAUAUUUUUAUUAUGCUUUUUAAAAUGAAAGAUCGAAUACUUUGUCUUCAUUCAGACAAGCAGUUGCUUGUAUUCUGCUUCAAAAGCUCACUCACAACAAUCUAUUGCAGAAUGGAUGUUCACUACAUUCCUAAAGCACCUUAGUAUACACAGGGUUCGUGUCAUUAUGCCUGAAAGGACCAGUGAAGUGAUAAAUCAAGUAUUUCAGAUUACCUGAUAACUACUGCAAAAAGCCUUUAAACCUUAUUUGUGUUCCAGGCCUGAGUCAUGGGGUGGGGAUAGCCCUAAUCUGUAUGGGAGGAGCUAUGCAGCCAUGCAACCAUGCCUGUAGCACACUAAGGAGCAUACACUGCAUGAACAAAACUGGUGGCAGUAUGGAGAAGGGCAGAGCUCUCUGAAUUACCCUGACAAAUCCACACCUAUGUAGUCCAGAAAAUUAACUGCAAGUUUCAGGGUAAAGCUUUAGAACUUAAUCCUGCUCCCUUUGAUGUUAAGGGCAAAUGCAUCUUCUGCCCAAAACAAAUGACUGAGUUCCCCUAAAUUUAAGCUAUUUAUUCAGUCUGUUACUCUUAGAUUAGUUUUUUGUUCUUCAAAGUAAAUUUUAAUUCAAAAGGCAGGAAUUUAAAAAAUCUUCAUGGAGAGACUACUCAUAACAUUUUCACAAAAUAUAUGGAAAGCUAAUAGUCAAAUGCCCAAAGAAGAAUGCACUAUGAGUUGAAAGUGAAUGAAAAACUGACUUUGGUAAUGGAACAGUCCGCCGCGUUCCAGGCGCCGACGCUCCGCUUUAACCCUUUCCUGCCGAUCCCAAAGAAUCCGCCUGGCGGAGGCAGAGUGGGGUUCAGCCUCGGCGUCUGCUGCGCUGGAGCACCGCGGGCAGGUCAGGGUAGUGAACACACUUCAGACAGGCAGUGUGAAGCGGGGGCAGCGACCCCGCACCUGCAAAAUGGCCUUAAAUGCCAUCUG